UGACAUUACCGAUAGAAAAAGCACCGGCUAACUCCGUGCCAGCAGCCGCGGUAAUACGGAGGGUGCAAGCGUUAAUCGGAAUUACUGGGCGUAAAGCGUGCGUAGGCGGCUGUUUAAGUCAGAUGUGAAAGCCCCGGGCUUAACCUGGGAACUGCAUUUGAUACUGGGCAGCUAGAGUUGAGUAGAGGAGAGGGGAAUUUCAGGUGUAGCGGUGAAAUGCGUAGAGAUCUGAAGGAACACCAGUGGCGAAGGCGCCUCUCUGGACUCAAACUGACGCUGAGGUACGAAAGCGUGGGUAGCAAACAGGAUUAGAUACCCUGGUAGUCCACGCCGUAAACGAUGUCAACUAGCCGUUGGUCUUAUUCGUAAGAUUAGUGGCGUAGCUAACGCGAUAAGUUGACCGCCUGGGGAGUACGGCCGCAAGGUUAAAACUCAAAUGAAUUGACGG
rnacentral:rRNA from 1 species